rnacentral:rRNA from 1 species
AUUGAACGCUGGUGGCAUGCCUUACACAUGCAAGUCGAACGGUAACAGGUCUUCGGAUGCUGACGAGUGGCGAACGGGUGAGUAAUACAUCGGGACGUGCCCGAGAGGGGGGGAUAACGAGGCGAAAGCUUUGCUAAUACCGCAUACGAUCUCAGGAUGAAAGCAGGGGACCGCAAGGCCUUGCGCUCACGGAGCGGCCGAUGGCAGAUUAGGUAGUUGGUGGGAUAAAAGCUUACCAAGCCGACGAUCUGUAGCUGGUCUGAGAGGACGACCUGCCACACUGGGACUGAGACACGGCCCAGACUCCUACGGGAGGCAGCAGUGGGGAAUUUUGGACAAUGGGCGCAAGCCUGAUCCAGCCAUGCCGCGUGCAGGAUGAAGGCCUUCGGGUUGUAAACUGCUUUUGUACGGAACGAAAAGACUCUGGUUAAUACCUGGGGUCCAUGACGGUACCGUAAGAAUAAGCACCGGCUAACUACGUGCCAGCAGCCGCCGUAAUAC